UUGAAGAGUUUGAUCAUGGCUCAGAUUGAACGCUGGCGGCAGGCCUAACACAUGCAAGUCGAACGGUAACAGGAAACAGCUUGCUGUUUCGCUGACGAGUGGCGGACGGGUGAGUAAUGUCUGGGAAACUGCCUGAUGGAGGGGGAUAACUACUGGAAACGGUAGCUAAUACCGCAUAACGUCGCAAGACCAAAGAGGGGGACCUUCGGGCCUCUUGCCAUCAGAUGUGCCCAGAUGGGAUUAGCUAGUAGGUGGGGUAACGGCUCACCUAGGCGACGAUCCCUAGCUGGUCUGAGAGGAUGACCAGCCACACUGGAACUGAGACACGGUCCAGACUCCUACGGGAGGCAGCAGUGGGGAAUAUUGCACAAUGGGCGCAAGCCUGAUGCAGCCAUGCCGCGUGUAUGAAGAAGGCCUUCGGGUUGUAAAGUACUUUCAGCGGGGAGGAAGGGAGUAAAGUUAAUACCUUUGCUCAUUGACGUUACCCGCAGAAGAAGCACCGGCUAACUCCGUGCCAGCAGCCGCGGUAAUACGGAGGGUGCAAGCGUUAAUCGGAAUUACUGGGCGUAAAGCGCACGCAGGCGGUUUGUUAAGUCAGAUGUGAAAUCCCCGGGCUCAACCUUGGGAACUGCAUCUGAUACUGGCAAGCUUGAGUCUCGUAGAGGGGGGUAGAAUUCCAGGUGUAGCGGUGAAAUGCGUAGAGAUCUGGAGGAAUACCGGUGGCGAAGGCGGCCCCCUGGACGAAGACUGACGCUCAGGUGCGAAAGCGUGGGGAGCAAACAGGAUUAGAUACCCUGGUAGUCCACGCCGUAAACGAUGUCGACUUGGAGGUUGUGCCCUUGAGGCGUGGCUUCCGGAGCUAACGCGUUAAGUCGACCGCCUGGGGAGUACGGCCGCAAGGUUAAAACUCAAAUGAAUUGACGGGGGCCCGCACAAGCGGUGGAGCAUGUGGUUUAAUUCGAUGCAACGCGAAGAACCUUACCUGGUCUUGACAUCCACGGAAGUUUUCAGAGAUGAGAAUGUGCCUUCGGGAACCGUGAGACAGGUGCUGCAUGGCUGUCGUCAGCUCGUGUUGUGAAAUGUUGGGUUAAGUCCCGCAACGAGCGCAACCCUUAUCCUUUGUUGCCAGCGGUCCGGCCGGGAACUCAAAGGAGACUGCCAGUGAUAAACUGGAGGAAGGUGGGGAUGACGUCAAGUCAUCAUGGCCCUUACGACCAGGGCUACACACGUGCUACAAUGGCGCAUACAAAGAGAAGCGACCUCGCGAGAGCAAGCGGACCUCAUAAAGUGCGUCGUAGUCCGGAUUGGAGUCUGCAACUCGACUCCAUGAAGUCGGAAUCGCUAGUAAUCGUGGAUCAGAAUGCCACGGUGAAUACGUUCCCGGGCCUUGUACACACCGCCCGUCACACCAUGGGAGUGGGUUGCAAAAGAAGUAGGUAGCUUAACCUUCGGGAGGGCGCUUACCACUUUGUGAUUCAUGACUGGGGUGAAGUCGUAACAAGGUAACCGUAGGGGAACCUGCGGUUGGAUCACCUCCUU
rnacentral:rRNA from 1 species